rnacentral:tRNA from 1 species
GCCUCGGUGAUGCAGUUGGCAGCGCGUCAGACUCUUAAUCUGAAGGCCGUGAGUUCGAACCUCACCUAGGGUA